rnacentral:snRNA from 1 species
GGAUGUGAGUGCAACCUGGACAGGACAUCAUCCGUCACCUCACUGAUGACCAGGGUUUAUUCCCCUGAUCUGGCUUGCUAGAUGGGUGUGGCCUUCAUCCCUCACUGUUCCAUGUGUAUCCCUGCUGAAGCUGCACACUGAAUUGGAGACAAUGACCAUCCUUGAUAAAGGAUGACUGUUUCCUGGUCAAGAGUAUACAAGAAGCUAUGCUCUUCUAAGCCUCUGAACAAAAAAAGCUGGGCAAAGUGGUUCAUGCUGUAAUCU